rnacentral:sRNA from 1 species
AUUCGCUGAAUUUCCUCGUCACGGCGGGGAAAACGGGGGAACCGAAUGCGCCUUGAGCAGGAUGGUUUUUAUUCUGGCAAGGUGCGUGGGGUGAAUCCGCGGAAGCUAUCAACCGGAGAUUUAAUGUACGGCAGGCAACCGCGGAGGGGUGACUCUCACUACCCUAAUCCGACAGCUAACCUCGUAAGCGUUGUUCGAGAGA